AUUGAACGCUGGCGGCAUGCCUUACACAUGCAAGUCGAACGGCAGCACGGGUGCUUGCACCUGUUGGCGAGUGGCGAACGGGUGAGUAAUACAUCGGAACAUGUCCUGUAGUGGGGGAUAGCCCGGCGAAAGCCGGAUUAAUACCGCAUACGAUCUACGGAUGAAAGCGGGGGACCUUCGGGCCUCGCGCUAUAGGGUUGGCCGAUGGCUGAUUAGCUAGUUGGUGGGGUAAAGGCCUACCAAGGCGACGAUCAGUAGCUGGUCCGAGAGGACGACCAGCCACACUGGGACUGAGACACGGCCCAGACUCCUACGGGAGGCAGCAGUGGGGAAUUUUGGACAAUGGGCGAAAGCCUGAUCCAGCAAUGCCGCGUGUGUGAAGAAGGCCUUCGGGUUGUAAAGCACUUUUGUCCGGAAAGAAAUCCUUGGCUCUAAUACAGUCGGGGGAUGACGGUACCGGAAGAAUAAGCACCGGCUAACUACGUG
rnacentral:rRNA from 1 species